GCAAAACGCGAAGAACCUUACCUGGUCUUGACAUCCACAGAAUUCUGCAGAGAUGCGGAAGUGCCUUCGGGAACUGUGAGACAGGUGCUGCAUGGCUGUCGUCAGCUCGUGUUGUGAAAUGUUGGGUUAAGUCCCGCAACGAGCGCAACCCUUAUCCUUUGUUGCCAGCGGUCCGGCCGGGAACUCAAAGGAGACUGCCAGUGAUAAACUGGAGGAAGGUGGGGAUGACGUCAAGUCAUCAUGGCCCUUACGACCAGGGCUACACACGUGCUACAAUGGCGCAUACAAAGGGAAGCGACCCCGCGAGGGCAGGCGGACCUCAUAAAGUGCGUCGUAGUCCGGAUUGGAGUCUGCAACUCGACUCCAUGAAGUCGGAAUCGCUAGUAAUCGUGGAUCAGAAUGCCACGGUGAAUACGUUCCCGGGUCUUGUACACACCG
rnacentral:rRNA from 1 species